GGCCAGUUGGCCGAGCGGUCUAUGGCGCAGCACUCAAGUAAUACUUGGACGAUAGUCUUGCUGUAUCGAAAGAUGCGAGGGUUCGAAUCCCUCACUGGUCA
rfam:Schizosaccharomyces pombe chromosome III, complete replicon